AUUGAACGCUGGCGGCAGGCCUAACACAUGCAAGUCGAGCGGAUGAAGGGAGCUUGCUCCUGGAUUCAGCGGCGGACGGGUGAGUAAUGCCUAGGAAUCUGCCUGGUAGUGGGGGAUAACGUCCGGAAACGGGCGCUAAUACCGCAACCGUCCUGAGGGAGAAAGUGGGGGACCUUCGGACCUCACGCUACCAGAUGAGCCUAGGUCGGAUUAGCUAGUUGGUGGGGUAAAGGCCUACCAAGGCGACGAUCCGUAACUGGUCUGAGAGGAUGAUCAGUCACACUGGAACUGAGACACGGUCCAGACUCCUACGGGAGGCAGCAGUGGGGAAUAUUGGACAAUGGGCGAAAGCCUGAUCCAGCCAUGCCGCGUGUGUGAAGAAGGUCUUCGGAUUGUAAAGCACUUUAAGUUGGGAGGAAGGGCAGUAAGUUAAUACCUUGCUGUUUUGACGUUACCAACAGAAUAAGCACCGGCUAACUUCGUG
rnacentral:rRNA from 1 species